GCCGCAACGGAACAACGGAAGUUCACUGGGUAACUCUAAUCUAAGGGGUACGGGGACGUAGGUUCGAAUCCUAUUUGCGGCU
rnacentral:tRNA from 7 species